GCGCAAGUGGUUUAGUGGUAAAAUCCAUCGUUGCCAUCG
rnacentral:tRNA from 1 species